GAUGAACGCUGGCGGCGUGCCUAAUACAUGCAAGUCGAGCGAAUGGAUUAAGAGCUUGCUCUUAUGAAGUUAGCGGCGGACGGGUGAGUAACACGUGGGUAACCUGCCCAUAAGACUGGGAUAACUCCGGGAAACCGGGGCUAAUACCGGAUAACAUUUUGAACCGCAUGGUUCGAAAUUGAAAGGCGGCUUCGGCUGUCACUUAUGGAUGGACCCGCGUCGCAUUAGCUAGUUGGUGAGGUAACGGCUCACCAAGGCAACGAUGCGUAGCCGACCUGAGAGGUGGAUCGGCCACACUGGGACUGAGACACGGCCCAGACUCCUACGGGAGGCAGCAGUAGGGAAUCUUCCGCAAUGGACGAGAGUCUGACGGAGCAACGCCGCGUGAGUGAUGAAGGCUUUCGGGUCGUAAAACUCUGUUGUUAGGGAAGAACAAGUGCUAGUUGAAUAAGCUGGCACCUUGACGGUACCUAACCAGAAAGCCACGGCUAACUACGUGCCAGCCGCCGCGGUAA
rnacentral:rRNA from 1 species